UGCAAAGUUGUGUAGUGCGAUCGGUGGAUGCCUUGGCACCAAGAGCCGAUGAAGGACGUUGUGACCUGCGAUAAGCCCUGGGGAGUUGGUGAGCGAGCUGUGAUCCGGGGGUGUCCGAAUGGGGAAACCUGGAAUGUCCGGAGUAGUGUCCGGUGGCCCUGCCCUGAAUGUAUAGGGGUGUGGGUGGUAACGCGGGGAAGUGAAACAUCUUAGUACCCGUAGGAAGAGAAAACAAGUGUGAUUCCGUGAGUAGUGGCGAGCGAAAGCGGAGGAGGCUAAACCGUGUGUGUGUUCAAGCCGGCAGGUGUUGCAUGUGCGGGGUUGUGGGGGCCUUGUGGUUCUGCUGCCGCAGGAUUGGCCAGUGAGAAAUGUUGCGUGAAGGUGAAGCGUCUGGGAAGGCGUACCGGAGUGGGUGAGAGUCCUGUAACUGUAAGCGUGGCACUGGUGUGGGGUUGCCCCGAGUAGCGUGGGACUCGUGGAAUUUCGCGUGAAUCUGGCGGGACCACCCGUCAAGCCUAAAUACUCCUUGGUGACCGAUAGUGGAUGAGUACCGUGAGGGAAGGGUGAAAAGUACCCCGGGAGGGGAGUGAAAGAGUUCCUGAAACCGGUCGCAUGCAAGCCGUCAGAGCCUGUGUGGUGAUGGCGUGCCUUUUGAAGAAUGAGCCUGCGAGUUAGUGAUGCGUGGCGAGGUUAACCCGUGGUGGGGGAGUCGUAGCGAAAGCGAGUCCGAUAAGGGCGUGAGUCGCGUGUUCUAGACCCGAAGCGGUGUGAUCUAUCCAUGGCCAGGAUGAAGCGUCGGUAAGACGUCGUGGAGGUCCGAACCCACUUCAGUUGAAAAUGGAGGGGAUGAGUUGUGGAUAGGGGUGAAAGGCCAAUCAAACACCGUGAUAGCUGGUUCUCCCCGAAAUGCAUUUAGGUGCAGCGUUGCGUGGUUCUUGUUGGAGGUAGAGCACUGGAUGGUCUAGGGGGCUUAUCGGCUUACCGAAAUCAGCCAAACUCCGAAUGCUGGCAAGUGUAGCGUGGCAGUGAGACGGCGGGGGAUAAGCUUCGUCGUCGAGAGGGAAACAGCCCAGAUCAUCAGCUAAGGCCCCUAAGUGGUGACUCAGUGGGAAAGGAUGUGGAGUUGCGUAGACAACCAGGAGGUUGGCUUGGAAGCAGCCAUCCUUGAAAGAGUGCGUAAUAGCUCACUGGUCAAGUGAUUCCGCGCCGAUAAUGUAGCGGGGCUUAAGUUAUCCGCCGAAGCUGUGGCAACCUGUGUGGUUGGGUAGGGGAGCGUCGUGUCAGUGGUGAAGCUGCCGGGUGACUGUGUGGUGGAGUUGAUGCGAGUGAGAAUGCAGGCAUGAGUAGCGUGUGACGGGUGGGAAUCCCGUCCGCCGAUUAUCCAAGGGUUCCAGGGUCAAGUUUGUCUGCCCUGGGUGAGUCGGGUCCUAAGGCGAGGCCGACAGGCGUAGUCGAUGGGUAACCAGUUGAUAUUCUGGUACCGGCUUGUCACCGUCCGUGUCGAGGUGUGUGAUGCUAAGCAUGUGAGCUUGUCUUGGGAGUGUUUUUGAUGCUUCUGGGGUGGGUGAGUGUGUGAACCGAUCAUGUAGUAGGCAAGCUGCGGAGGGACGCAGUGAGGUAGCUCAUCCCCGGUGAUGGUUGUCCGGGGCUAAGUGUGUGGACUGUCUGGUAGGUAAAUCCGCUGGGCGUGAAGGUUGAGGCAUGAUGGGGAGCCCAUGGUUGUGGGUGAGUGAGUGAUCCUGUACUGUCGAGAAAAGCUUCGUGAGCGAGGUGGCGGGUCCGCCCGUACCCUAAACCGACACUGGUGGAUAGGUAGAGUAUACCGAGGCGAUCGAGUGAAUCGUGGUGAAGGAACUCGGCAAAAUGCCCCCGUAACUUUGGGAUAAGGGGGACCUGAGCUGUCGUGCACCCGUGCGGUGUGGUGGCGGUGAGGGGCGCAGAGUCCAGGGGGAAACGACUGUUUACCAAAAACACAGGUCCGUGCGAAGUCGUAAGACGAUGUAUACGGACUGACUCCUGCCCGGUGCUGGAAGGUUAAGGGGAACUGUGAGUGUAUGCGUAGCGGUGAACUUAAGCCCCAGUAAACGGCGGUGGUAACUAUAACCAUCCUAAGGUAGCGAAAUUCCUUGUCGGGUAAGUUCCGACCUGCACGAAUGGCGUAACGACUUCUC
rnacentral:rRNA from 1 species